AUGGUGCAAGCGUUAUCCGGAUUUACUGGGUGUAAAGGGAGCGCAGGCGGCGCGGCAAGUCUGAUGUGAAAGCCCGGGGCCCAACCCCGGUACUGCAUUGGAAACUGCCGUGCUUGAGUGUCGGAGGGGUAAGUGGAAUUCCUAGUGUAGCGGUGAAAUGCGUAGAUAUUAGGAGGAACACCAGUGGCGAAGGCGGCUUACUGGACGACAACUGACGCUGAGGCUCGAAAGCGUGGGGAGCAAA
rnacentral:rRNA from 1 species